rnacentral:lncRNA from 1 species
CGCAUAUCACUGGAAAAUUGGACUUAACUAAACAAGGGUACUGCCUUUAACAAACUCAGUGACAGCCAAAGCAACAAGACCCAUCAUAGCGAACCUCCCAUUCCACAACUCAGCAUCCGAAGUCAUGAACCCAUCCGAUUUAGACUCCACGCUGACACCUUUAAACAAAGGAACCAGGGACGCAACCGAAAGCAGAACACUGGUCCCCAAGAACCAGGCAACUCCACCGUCUGAUAACUGGGCAAACACAUCCUGACCCUUGGAUAGCUCCACCGCCAAUGCAGCCACGAACCCAAUCAUCGCAAGCCUCCCGUUUAUCCUCUCCGGUGCCGGCCCGCUGAACGCAAACACGUCAGAGAACUUCGUGCUUAUACGCGGUAGCUUUGGUGGCUGAGUUGAUUGAUCCUUCUGCUGCUCAUUCUACAAAAUUGUUAUUGCACCCAUGCAAUUAGUGUAAAGUCUCUAGUUCUCAAGCAAAAGUAAAAAGUAAAUAUAAAGCAGAACUCUAGCCUUUACUUACCUUAGCCAUGCAGCGCACUGAUAAGCUAACAUUUCUCUGCAGAGUACCAGGUAAGUACUUAACAGAGGAAAAUUGGUACACCCCAGAUUUCCUGAUGCCGGUAACACGAGCUGCGACGACAGAGCUUCCAAGCAUAGAUUGAGUGGCGAGUGAAGCAGCCAUUUUUGUAGAUUAUGCAACGGAGGAAUAAUUUAGCAACUGGGAGUUUUUAGGUUAAUGGGCUCCUUACUUGCAAUUUUGAUGAUCAGUAAGAGCAUACGUUGCAUGGUAUUUAUAGUAAGUAAUAAAGUGUGGGGAGGGGAAGAGAGUGAUGGAUAUUUAGGUUCCACGUAGUCUAGAUCUUUCGCCAAAAGUUACUUGGUUCACGUGACUUCGCUGGUCCACAUAGGUGAUGGAGCUUGGGACGUGGCCUGGUUACACUCACCGGAGGGAAAGCUUGUGAAUCUGAGGCCAACGUUGUUCCUAGGUUUCGAGUUAGGCCACGACUACGACUAGGUCAUUCUAGUCAUCUCAUCUUAUGUCGCCACAUGCUCAUAGCUGGUCCUAACUUGAACACGGAAACAAAAUUUGUCACUAAGUGUUUGUUUCUUCCUUUAGCUGGCUAGCAGCUACUUAGCUUGUUUGCUUGUGUUUUUUUUUUUUUUUGCAGUCUGUAGCGAUCAACUUGGCAAAAGUUAUUCCGUGCUUUCGAGGUGCAUGGCGCCUGCAAGUCAAUGAGUUUCACCUCCCUCCCGUAUAUUUAUUCGGAUUCAAUUUUAUAUUAUAUGUAAUUUUAAUUUCUAAUUAAUUUCAUUCGAAUAUAACUGGAUGUUCCGAUUUAUCCAAAACCAAGAAUAACAAUUCAAUUCAUCGUAACUAUAUAUUCUGGUUACAAAUGAGUGUCAAUUAAUUCGAUUGGUAAAAUCUCUUAAAUCAUUUAUGUCAUGUUAAAUACAGUGAUAAUUUUAUAAAUAAAUGAAAAUCAAGCCUUGAUAAUCUACCUGAUCGAAUUAAUAUCAUCUUUGACAUUGUUUAAAUUAUUUUAUUCUCGAAAGAUAAUCAAUUUAGGAAUGACAAAAUCUAAAUUGAAGUGUAGGUGCAUCCAAAUCUGAAUCCACAUUAAUUUUUCAGGAUUCAGAAGUUGGUAAAUUUAUACAGAUUCUAAGCGAAUAUUCUUGAUAUGUGGAUCCGCACAUUUAAAACAUUUAUUUACAAAACUAUAACAUUUUACCAAUAUAAAAAAUAAAAAAAAAUAAUAAUCAUUCAAUACUAAACAAAUCUAGAAUAAAUAUUAAUAACAAUCCAAGUUAAUAGCACCACAAAUGACAAAUUUAAAAUAAUAUAAAGUACUGAACAAAUCUAAAAUAAUAUAAGAUAAUGUUUAAGCAUACUUGGGUGUGUUAUCCUAUUUAUGUGUGAUGUGUUUUUAACUUAGGGCUUAUAUUUUCUUAUAUAUGUCUUAUUUUUUAUUUAAUUAAUUUUAAAAAAAAUAUGCAGAUCUGAAUACCUAGUUAUCCAUCCUCAAUAUCCACAUCUUGAUUCACAUUUUUUAUUAUGCAGAUUCCGAUCUCUGUGGAUGCAAACUAGAUCCCAAUUUUCUUGUCAUCCCUAAGCAAAAGCUUUUCCUCACAAUUAGUUUCCUGUAUAAGAAGGAUUCUUUAUUUUCUUCAUAUUUUAGUAUUCGGAAUUUUCUCCUCAAACUCAAGGUUUAGCUAUUACUAUAAAUUUUAAUGUCACAAAGGCUAAUUCUUGAGCAAUAAAUCAGACUUUCAGCCAUUGCCAAAUUCGGAGGUUUAGCUUUUCCACACAAUUAGUUUCAUGUAUAAAUACAUAUUUGAUAUGACUUAUUUAAUAUGUAUAAGUGCUUAUUUAAUCUUAUAAACUCUUAUCAUAGUUUUUUUUUCUUGUUUGGUUAUUUUUUUAAUAAAGAUUUUGAACCUUAAAUAAGAUAUGUUAUCUCUACUAGUAAAAGCUCAAAUUUUAAACUUUUAUGGAAUAGAUGUUGAAAAACUUUUUUUAAAUGUUAAAAUAUAUAAAAUAUCCUCUAAUUAUUUAAAAAUCUUAUUUUAUUUUUUAUAAUAUAAUUUUAAAAAACUUGUUUAUUAAAAUAAUUUCUUAAAUUUUUAAUAAAAACUUUUAUUGAGAACCAAACAACUAAAAUUUUUAUAAUAAAAAACUCUAUUAACUAAAGCUCUACUUAAAAUAAUCUCUACUUAAAAAAUUAUACCAAACGGAAUCCAAGAAUGACUCUUUAUUUUCUUCAUAUUUUAGUAUUCGGAAUUUCCUCCUCAAACUCAAGGUUUAGCUAUUACUAUAAAUUUUAAUGUCACGAAGGCUAAUUCUCAAGCAAUAAAUCAAACUUUCAGCCAUCGCCAAAUUCGGAGGUCAAUUCCUUCGAAGCGAUUAAAAUUAAUUUUCUUAAUUUUACUUCAGCUUUUCAGUUAGAGCCAUAUGAUCUUAAUAAUAGUUUAGCUGGUUGGCUUCUUGCCUUAUAAAGCACUAACAACAUUCAGUUUCUGCAAAUGAGAAUUCAGAGAACAGAGAUAGGCUCAAACUCAGGAUUGCACCAUACCUCUAGAUGAGCUCAUAUCUUCAACAAACACAACAUAUGAAACCAAAAAAAAAAAAAAAAAAUUGUUAAGCUUCCAUAGAUACUUCAGUUUAUCCAUUUGCACCUGUUCUUAUUCAAUUAACUUUUCUACUUCAAAAAUGAUCCGAUGUUGUUACGUUAAUUACUGUUUAAUGUAAAUUAAUGAAUAUUAGCUUUAAAAUUGCCGGCUCCCUGAGUGCGACACAAAUUGCAUAGAAGAAUUUUGUGGCCAUGGUAAAAAAAUUACAAGUAUUCCACAACUGGGUGUGGCACUCUUGGGCUCGUAGCAAUGAACUUGAGGGCACAAGUUUAAGUCUCAACUCUUAACUUUGUAUUAAUCAUGAAUACGAGUAGAGUACACAUCUUUUUUUAUCUUCAAAGAAAGAUACAUCUCAAUAUUGUAAUAAAUUUCUGAAUUAUCAUAAUAAUAUUAAUCCAUAUUUGUUCCAGUAAACUUAUGACUGUAUGAUUAGAUAUUAGUUAGUAAUAAAAGGAAAAAAAAACUAGAAAAUGGUGGUUGAAUUACAGAAUGGCAUGAGAAAUAGAGAUUUAAUUACAGUAGGAUCUCAUACAUUAAUUAGUUAAAAAAAAUACAGAUCUACAGAUCUAAACAAAAUUAAGCUUAAACAAGGGUGCCACCCUUAACAAACUCGGUGAAAGCCAAAGCAACAAGGCCCAGCAUAGCAAACCUCCCAUUCCACAACUCAGCAUCCGAAGUCAUGAACCCAUCCGAUUUAGACUCCACGCUGACACCUUUAAACAAAGGAACCAGGGACGCAACCGUGAGCAAAACACUGGUCCCCAAGAACCAGGCAACCCCACCGUCUGAUAACUGGGCAAACACAUCCUGACCCUUGGAUAUCUCCACCCCCAAUGCAGCCACGAACCCAAUCAUCGCAAGCCUCCCGUUUAUCCUCUCCGGUGCCGGCCCGCUGAACGCGAACACCUCAGAGAACCCCGUGCUCAUCCGCGGCUUCUUUGGUGGCUGAGGCUCAGCUUUCGGUAUGGUUGGUUGAUCAUCUUUCUGCUGCUGCUGCUGCUCAUCCUGUAAAAUUAUAUCAAUACCCCAUGCAAUUAGUAAAACUGUUAUUUCACGUUAGGUAAAGCUCCGCAUUUCGUAUUGUGGAACCGUGGCUUCACUUACCUCUGCCGUGCAGCGCACGGAUAAGUUGACAUUUCUACGCAGACUAGGCAAGUACUUGACGGAGGAAAGUUGGUUUGCCCCGGAUCUCCUGAUACCAGUCACACGAGCUGCUACAGGACUUGCCAGCAUAGAUUGAGUAGCAAGUGAUGCGGCCAUUUUUAAUUUAUGAAGUAGAAAACAGAACAAAGUAUAAUUCGGGAAUUGGGUGCUUCAGGUCGGCGGGUUCCUUGUUUGCAAUUUCUUGAGACAAGAGAGCAAAGUUUGCAUGGUAUAUAUAGUAGGUUGGGCUGAAGACUGAAAACCGAAAACCGAAGAGAGUGGUGGAUAUUUCGGUUCCACGUAGUCUAGAUCUUUCUUGAAAAGUUAAUUCGUUCACGUGGGUUUGCUUUGUCCACAUGUAAUGGAAGCUUGUGACGUGGCCACUUACUCACCAGAAACAUGUCACUUCCAAAGUGCUUCCUACUUCUAGUGGUUCAUCUCAUACCACGACAUGUAGUUCUUGUUUCUUAGUUAAAGACGUAAUUAUUUCGUCACAUGGUUUGCUAGUCUGAUUUCUUUAGCCAGCUCGCUUGUUUCCAGCGAUGCAAUUUGGCAGUCUGCAUGCGUGCUUUGGUUUUGGCCGUCGUUACUUUACUAACUAGCAAUUCAUAAAGUUGACGAGUUCUCUCACUGCGUCAGAUUCACAGGGCUAACGUGCACUCAGAUGAACAGAAAUGACCAAGACUCCAGAGACGAUGAUUGUGCUACCUUAUUGCAUGUAUAAUUAAGCAGCAGAAAUGUGUGUAAACCGUCGAACUGGAUUUGUUCCUGUUAUUGUUUGUCAAUACAACGUUCAAUUUUACAAAUUAAAAAAAAAAAAAAAAUUCCGAGAACAGAUGUUCGAAUUAAGGGCUAAUCGCUAAUGUACGAAUCAAGCAUUUACACGAAUAUUUCUUGCUUAAUUCUCAAUAAACUACACAUAAGAAGGAAGCAAGAGAUGAAAUGACAUGCCUCCAUAGUUCCACACCUCAGUUUAAUCCACUUGGAAUAUUUACUUUCUAGGAGUAUUUGCAAAUUUGUACCCAUAACCAGACAAAUUACUGUAGUCUCUAUGGCCACCAACUUCGUCAACAGGAAUGGUCUUGCAAAUUUCUUUCAAGUCCUCUUCUUUAAGCUUCAGCGCCAAAGAACCAAUGUUGUUAUCAAGGUUUGUAAUCUUAGUUGUCCCUGUAUAAUAUGAAAGUGAAAAGUAACAAGUCAUGCAAGAACCAGCUAGAAAUCCCACAGCAGAGUAAAAUUUACAUUCAUUGAAAUAUUAUUUAUCUAGAAAAGAGAGGUAUGAAUGUUAUACCAUUCUUUUAUCAAAGAAAAUUGAAAAGCAAAUCCAAACAUGUUGAACAGGUCAUUUAGAAGAAUUUAAGAGCCUAAUAUAUACCGGGAAUAGGGACUAUGUCAUCCCCUUGAUGGAGAAGCCACGCCAAAGCUAAUUGAGGGGUAGUACACCCAUACUUUGCAGCCAAGGUUUCCAAACGAGUAUAUAAAAGUUUGUUCUUCUCCAAGUUCUCUCCACUGAACCUAGGAUGCAUUGCCUGUGACAGAAAAUAGAAAACAGCUUCAAAGAGGAAAAAUGUGAAAUUGUGAAACAACGUGUGCCUGUUUACAAACUGGAAGAAUAGAAAGGAAAGUCAAAUGGAUAAAAUUGUAGAUUUAAUUAUUAGAUUUGCUUUGUAACACAUACCAAAAUACUCUCACUGGGCAAGCUUUCCACAACU